GACGAACGCUGGCGGCGUGCCUAAUACAUGCAAGUUGAGCGCUGAAGGUUGGUACUUGUACCAACUGGAUGAGCAGCGAACGGGUGAGUAACGCGUGGUGAAUCUGCCUUUGAGCGGGGGACAACAUUUGGAAACGAAUGCUAAUACCGCAUAAAAACUUUAAACACAAGUUUUAAGUUUGAAAGAUGCAAUUGCAUCACUCAAAGAUGAUCCCGCGUUGUAUUAGCUAGUUGGUGAGGUAAAGGCUCACCAAGGCGAUGAUACAUAGCCGACCUGAGAGGGUGAUCGGCCACAUCGGGACUGAGACACGGCCCAAACUACUACGGGAGGCAGCAGUAGGGAAUCUUCGGCAAUGGACGAAAGUCUGACCGAGCAACGCCGCGUGAGUGAAGAAGGUUUUCGGAUCGUAAAACUCUGUUGGUAGAGAAGAACGUUGGUGAGAGUGGAAAGCUCAUCAAGUGACGGUAACUACCCAGAAAGGGACGGCUAACUACGUG
rnacentral:rRNA from 1 species